AAAAACCCUUUGGCCGUUCCGACCAUGUGGUGACCAAGCCCUGGAAGACACAGUGUUUGCAGGUGACCAAGAGUCAACCUCAAGGGGGAUGUGUCCAGACUUGGAGGUGACCUUGAGCAUUCCGGGGGUCCUUGGUCCACGGCCUGAAGCGACUCACAACAAGAGGAGUUUCCUCAUCGAAGAAAACAAUUGCAGCAAAAAGAUUUCUCCAGACUUGUCCCAUUUUACCCAUAGAUAGCUGUUUAGAUAGUUGCAGGACUGGGGUGAAAUGGGGAAUACUACUCAGCAGUCUUGCAAAUGGCUUUGUGUUCUAUUGAGGUUUAAGUAUCAGCAUCCCAGCAGAUCGUAACCGUAGCGAUUAGUUAAUAGAUCUUAUUUUAACUUUAUUCUUGUCCUAUGUGGGCUUGUGACUGCUCUGUGUUUAGUAUUCCUUCUAUGGAUAGGAAUUAAAUACCUGUCCCAAACCUGAUUGAUAUUUGUAACUCUCCCCUUUUGAGAAAACCCUAGAUAGAAAACUAAGCUUUAAAUAAUAUAUCCCUUGGGAUCCUAGGGUGGGGGGAUUAGCCAGACAAGAAAGAUGAGAAGUGGGAAAUCUGGAUCCCGCAGGCCUGAGCUCAGGCCAAAUCUCAUGUCUAUUUUCAGAAUCAAGGGACCCCUUACUGGAAAAAGAAGGGCUGUAGCACCUCCCAAGCCCUGUGGGUCCAGCACGGGUUCCUAAGUGUUAGAUGUUGUUUCUGUAAUUAAUAUAUGUAUAAUUUUCCUAAUAUUGGAUCAACAUGUCAUUCCUGGUAUCAGUUCAACCUGGUCAUAGUUUAUAAUCUCUGUAAUCUACUGCCAAAACUUCUGCUAAUAUUUUAUGCUAUAUUAUUUUUAGUAGAUAUUUAUUAGAAAUAAUGACCUAUGAUUUUAUUUUCUGUGCUAUCUCUCUCUAUUUGAGGUAUCAAGAUUGUCUCCUAGAAGAAAUUCGGUAGGGUGCCAUCUUUCCCUAAUUUUUAAUCGAAUUUUUUAUUUUCCAAUUACAUGUAAAAAGUUUUCAACAUUUGUUUUUUAAAGUUUUGAGUUCUAAAUUCCCC
rnacentral:lncRNA from 1 species